UACGUAGGGUGCAAGCGUUGUCCGGAAUUAUUGGGCGUAAAGAGCUCGUAGGCGGUUUGUUGCGUCGGCUGUGAAAUCCCGAGGCUCAACCUCGGGUCUGCAGUCGAUACGAGCAAACUAGAGUGUUGCAGGGGAGACUGGAAUUCCUGGUGUAGCGGUGAAAUGCGCAGAUAUCAGGAGGAACACCAAUGGCGAAGGCAGCUCGCUGGGACGGUACUGACGCUGAGACGCGAAAGCGUGGGGAGCGAACAGG
rnacentral:rRNA from 1 species